rnacentral:rRNA from 1 species
AUUGACCGCUGGCGGCAGGCCUAACACAUGCAAGUCGAACGAGUGGCGGACGGGUGAGUAAUGUAUGGGAAACUGCCCGGUGGAGGGGGAUAACUCAUGGAAACGGUGGCUAAUACCGCAUACCAUCGGAUGUGCCCAGAUGGGAUUAGCUAGUCGGUGGGGUAACGGCUCACUUAGGCGACGAUCCCUAGCUGGUCGGAGAGGAUGACCAGCCACACUGGGACUGAGACACGGUCCAGACUCCUACGGUAGGCAGCAGUGGGUAAUAUUGCACAAUGGGGGCAACCCUGAUGCAGCCAUGCCGCGUGUAUGAAGAAGGCCUUCGGGUUGUAAAGUACUUUCAGCGGGGAGGCGUUACCCGCAGAAGAAGCACCGGCUAAUUCCGUGCCAGCAGCCGCGGUAAUUC